GAGCUCAGCUCUUGAGACAGAAGUCUUGCUCAAUGCUCCUGGCUGAAUAAACCAUUUCCUUCUUUAACUCAGUGUCUGAGGAGUUUUGUCUGCGGCUCGUCCUGCUACAUUUCUUGGUUCCCUGACCGGGAAGCGAGGUGAUUGGCAGAUGGUCGAGGCAGCUCCUUAGGCGGCUAAAGCCUGCCCUGUGGAACAUCCCUGCAGGGGACUCUGACCAGCCUGAGCGACGUGGAUCCUGAGAGCGCUUCUGGGUAGGCAUUUGCCCCAGUGGGAUGCCUCACCAGAGCAGUGUGUGGAAGGCCCCCAUGGAGUCUCAACACGGUGGCUGAACACCGGGAAGGAACUGGUAUUUGGAGUCCGGACAUCUGAAACUUGGAGAUGAACAAGCCAUGUGGGUGCCCUCAAGAUGUUUGCAACCAUGGAGACUGGAGGGACCCAUGGAUUCCAAAUAUAGGCCUUGUUACCCCAGUACGAGCCAUGAGCCAGUUGAAUCUGAAUGUGAAGACAGAACGAGGACAGACUGGAGUCAUGUUGACAUCAACCCCCAUAACAUGGGGACAGAUCAAGAAAACCACACAGGAAGCUGAGCAACUGCUGGAAUGCCAGGGUUUCACCUUUUGCUGGAACUCAUAUAAUCAAUGCUUAAGAGACCAAUGCUUUCUGAGUUCCUCUCUACCCUGAAUACAAGAGACAUUAAUAGCUAUGUGGAAAUAUCAUCACCCCUAUUCAGCAUGAAGAAGUUGCAGUAGACAGACCUUCAUCCUUCUGCAACCCUUAGGAUUAAGGAUCUUGUUGUAAAAGGGAAAGGGGAAAUAUGUAAGAAGCAUUCAAACCAGAGUGACACCAUUUUGAAUAAGGGCUAAGAAAAAUGAAGCUGGAUCACAAACUGGCAAUUAAGGGCUGCACAGUCUGCAAUUGCCUUGCCCAAUUAAUUUAAAAACAAAGGAGAUGUUGGAGGCUACACAAAUGUUUCUUAUGAUUAGGCAUAAUUAAAGCCUGUCAGUAAUAAUAUGAACCUGUGAUCAAUUAAGCAACUGACCAAUUGUUACCUCCUCCUGCUGGUUCAUUCUACCCAAUAAAUACAAAGGGCAAUAGAAGCUUAUGGGCUGCCUUUGCUCUCUAGAAGCAGGGAGCUCUCUUCUCCCCAUGUUACCUUUCCCUUAAAACAGUUUUUUUUUCCUUGGUUUUCAUUUCUACAUUUGUCCAUUCAUUCAGUCGUAAUGAUGGUCUCAAGUGGUAACAGUAGUAACUUCUGUAAUUACGGUCUUAAGCAGUAACAGUAGUAGCUGCUGUAAUGACAGUCUCAAGUAGUAACUGUGGUAGUCAGCCAGAGCUAAUUAUACUCAUGAUUGUCUUACAUUAUUUGCUAAUUCUAGGAUGCAAAGCCAGAAUAAGAGCAAUGACCACCAUGCCUGACAAACCUGUUACUGCAUACAUCUGUGCUCUCCAAUCAAUAAGGCCGAUGCGGAAAGCAGAAAAGGGGGAGAUGGAGGUGUUCAGUCAGCAUGGUGGGAAAAAUUGUAAAAUAAACCUUCCUGGAAGGACAGAAGGUUUUUGCAAAAGCCUUAGGAUAGAGUUAUGGCUGAAGGCAGCCUAAUCCUCUUUGAGCUAUAGCAAGGGUCAGUGAGAGAGCAUAUGCCCUGGUAGAUUCCUGAGAAAAGGAACAGGAGGAUGAGAGGUUCAAUGUUUUACACAUUGCUGGUCUGAUAGCUCAGCUUCAUUCACAGAGAAAGACACUGAAGGAAUUAAAUCAGCUUGUCCAGCAGCAAGCUUCAGAGCCAAAUAUAAGCACACCUCAUAAUUCAGAGACCUCGUGAUGGGUCCUCAGAAGACACACCCAGCAGCUGCCAAAUGAACAGCAGAUGACGGAAAGGGGCCCUUGGCCUGAUCUCUCAUGGGAGACAGUGACCUUUCCUGAGUUGAAGAUGGUGAAAUGCCAGAAGGAGCUGAUGAGGCUGUCCCACACACUGACACUGCUAUGAUAUCAUGAUUGAAUUUCACUUUUUUCUCCCACCAUAAUGUAAUUUCUGGGCAGUGAUUGGGGUGUUGAUUCAUAAACACCCCUUACUGUUCUGCAUUGGAUUAAUCAUGAUGUACUGUCUUUUUCUCACUAUUUACAAAGUACAGCACCAUGAGAAUCCCUGAAUUUUAGAAUAAGUUUCUCUCCACUGGAAUAUAACACAUAUUUUGGGUUCUUUGCCUGGACUGGUCAUUUCUUUCUUUUACUAAUUGUUGUGAAAGAAUGACAGAGAUGUACAACAUGGUUUUUGAAUGGAUGCUGAGUUUAACUCUCCCGCUUACCAGAGAUAAAGUUGGCCAUACACACACGUCUCUUAUAUAAGAGUUUAUUCAUUGGCAGACACUUUGAUGAUGACAUUGAGUUAGAUGAAAUACUGGUUCCAGUUUGUAGCACUUUAUGAAUUUUCAUGUAAAGUGAUCAUUCAAUUUAAGGUUUCUGCACACAUCUUACAAAGCAUAUCUGUUUAUCAGAGCUCAUUUACUUAAGAGGAUUAAAAUGAAAUCUCUCCUCAUGAGCCAAGGGUGAAAUAGCUAGUGUCCGCUCCUAAAUAUGUGAACUAAUAUGUUUUUCCAUGGGCAAGCAAGAUUUUGUUUUUCUCCUAUUUUUCUUCUUCAGAAGGAAAUGAUUAAAAUAUUAAUAACACAAAAAUAAAUAUACAUUAUAAAACUCAAAAAAAUAAGGAUUUUUAUUGGAGUAAAGUUUUUAGUGGAGUAAAUUAUACAAUAUUAAAAAAGCAAUGGAAUUUAAAAGCAUGCCAUUUUUAAGUUUCCCUUUAUUAAUACAUUAGCAUACACAAAAUCUCAAUUAAAAAUUGCUUUAAAAGAUACUAAGUGCCAUUCAACUCUUAUUCUUUUAUCAUCUUCAAAAUAGCUGUUUAAAUCUAUAUUUAUACAAAAUAGCUGUUUAAAAAAUAUCUUUUUUUAAUUUUUUUCAUUUUUUU
rnacentral:lncRNA from 1 species